UACGUAGGGGCCUAGCGUUGUCCGGAUUUAUUGGGCGUAAAGAGCUCGUAGGCGGCUUGUCGCGUCGACUGUGAAAACCCGCGGCUCAACCGCGGGCCUGCAUUCGAUACGGGCAGGCUAGAGUUCGGUAGGGGGAGACUGGAAUUCCUGGUGUAGCGGUGAAAUGCGCAGAUAUCAGGAAGAACACCCGUGGCUAAGGCGGUUCUCUAGUACGGUACUGACGCUGAGACGCGAAAGCGUGGGGAGCGAACAGG
rnacentral:rRNA from 1 species